CAAUUAAGGAAGAUGAGGACACAGCUGAGAAGUGAAAUGAUUUCAUUUCAUAAGUUCUCACCUCAGGGGAUGUUGGGAAAAGUCUGCUCCCGACUUGCUCCUUGCUGGUAAUAAAGGUGGGCUGGGAGGCCUCCCACUGCACGGGGCUUGGAAUUUGGCAGGAUUUCAGAAGAAAAAGGGUCUUGUGCUACUCCUUGGAGGUGGAGAGGUGGGGAGAGGGAAAAGCCACCCGAGCCCUGAUCUGAGCUGCACCGUGAGCUGUCUCAGCCCAUCAGGAGCAGUUCUAGGGCGGAUUCUGUCAUUCCUGUCACCGAAUGAUGCUGCCCGAGGAAUUCAUUUCCAUCCCCCCCAGCAGACUCCCCCCAAAAAAGUCCACGCAGUAAGUCAAAGGAAUUAAAUCUGAAGCUGCCUGUGGAAGGAUAAUGAAUGUGAAAGACAGACGUGGUCUCUGGCUCCUCGAGGCGAUGUGAGGUUUAGGUAUUUCCCUCUGAUGGAUCAUCCCCAGUUGUGUCUCCUCGGAAAACAGAAAUGAAGAAGAAAGGCAGGGAUUUAACAGCAUGUCCUGGAGAGCGAGGCAGAGGGGAAAUGAGCACUCCAGAAGGAAAGGGACCCUUUGGAAUUCAGCAGG